rnacentral:rRNA from 1 species
CCUACGGGCGGCUGCAGUGGGGAAUAUUGGACAAUGGGGGGAACCCUGAUCCAGCCAUGCCGCGGGUGUGAAGAAGGCCCUCGGGUGGUAAAGCACUUUCAGUGAGGAAGAACGCCUGGUGGUUAAUACCCAUCAGGAAAGACAUCACUCACAGAAGAAGCACCGGCUAACUCCGUGCCAGCAGCCGCGGUAAUACGGAGGGUGCGAGCGUUAAUCGGAAUUACUGGGCGUAAAGCGCGCGUAGGUGGCUUGAUAAGCCGGUUGUGAAAGCCCCGGGCUCAACCUGGGAACGGCAUCCGGAACUGUCAAGCUAGAGUGCAGGAGAGGAAGGUAGAAUUCCCGGUGUAGCGGUGAAAUGCGUAGAGAUCGGGAGGAAUACCAGUGGCGAAGGCGGCCUUCUGGACUGACACUGACACUGAGGUGCGAAAGCGUGGGUAGCAAACAGGAUUAGAUACCCGUGUAGUC